AGAGUUUGAUCCUGGCUCAGAUUGAACGCUGGCGGCGUGGCUAAAGCAUGCAAGUCGAGCGAACCCGCAAGGGUGAGCGGCGAAAGGGUCAGUAACACGAUCGAACGUCCCCUGAGGUUGAGGAUAGCGGUGGGAAACUGCCGGUAAUACUCCAUGAUCUCUCCGGAGCAAAGGUUUACCGCCUUGGGAUCGGCGAUCGUCCUAUCAGCUAGUUGGCGGGGUAACGGCCCACCAAGGCUAUGACGGGUAGCAGGUGUGAGAGCACGAUCUGCGACAUCGGAACUGAGACACUGUCCGGACUCCUACGGGAGGCUGCAGCGACGAAUCUUCCGCAAUGGGCGCAAGCCUGACGGAGCGACGCCGCGUGUGGGAUGAAGCGCCUACGGCGUGUAAACCACUGUCAGGGGGCAAAACCAAUGAUGCCCCCAGAGAACA
rnacentral:rRNA from 1 species